rnacentral:rRNA from 1 species
CCUACGUGUGGCAGCAGUGAGGAAUAUUGGUCAAUGGGCGCGAGCCUGAACCAGCCAAGUAGCGUGAAGGAUGACUGCCCUAUGGGUUGUAAACUUCUUUUAUAUGGGAAUAAAAUGUUCCACGUGUGGGAUUUUGUAUGUACCAUAUGAAUAAGGAUCGGCUAACUCCGUGCCAGCAGCCGCGGUAAUACGGAGGAUCCGAGCGUUAUCCGGAUUUAUUGGGUUUAAAGGGAGCGUAGGUGGAUUGUUAAGUCAGUUGUGAAAGUUUGCGGCUCAACCGUAAAAUUGCAGUUGAAACUGGCAGUGUUGAGUACAGUAGAGGUGGGCGGAAUUCGUGGUGUAGCGGUGAAAUGCUUAGAUAUCACGAAGAACUCCGAUUGCGAAGGCAGCUCACUGGACUGCAACUGACACUGAGGCUCGAAAGUGUGGGUAUCAAACAGGAUUAGAUACCCCGGUAGUC